CCCACAGCUCUUAUUCUGGAAACCAGGGAGGGUCUUCCUACUCUCCUGGUGGAUCUUAUGGACAGCGAGGGUCUUCUGUCAAUGAUAACGGCAGCGAAUCCUAUGGUCAGGAUGGAUCUUCCGCCUAUGGUGGCACUGGAUCAUAUGGUCAGGAUUCACCUUCCAUGGGAGUUAGUGAAUCUGAUUACAGUGAUUCCACCUCACCAUCUUACAACCGUCAGAGUGAACGGGAUUUUUAUUCCCCUGGAGGCAGCCAGUCAGGUGGACAUGGAUUAUCUUCGCAAGGUGGUGGCUACUCCAGUGGACAGGGCUCGUCCCCAUCAGGAAGCAGCCAGUAUGGUGGGCAGGGUUCACCUUCAAGAGGCAGCCAAUCAGGUGGACAGGGUGGAUGUGAUUGCUCUGGUGCAAGUUCUAGUGGAUCAUCUUCCUCACUCAGAAGUAAUUCCUCUUCAAAUGACACAUCUUAUUCUGGAGGAAGCCGUUACAGUAGCUAUGAUUCCACCUCACCAUCUUACAACCGUCAGAGUGAACGGGAGUCAUAUUCUUCUGGAGCUAAUCAAUAUGGCGGACAUGGUUCGCCUUCCUCAGGAGGCAGCCAGUAUGGAGGACAGGGCUUUUCUUCAGGAGGCAGCCAAUCAGGUGGACAGGGUGGAUGUCAUUGUCCUGGUGGGAGCCCGGGCUCUUUUGGAGGAAGCAACUACCACCGUGGACAGGGUUCAUCUUAUUCUGGAAGCAGUCAGUAUGGAGGACAGGCAAGCAACUCCUCUUUCAAGACAUUCUUCUUACCUGUUACUUAUUAAAUGAAAAAUAUGAUGCUGUGCAUUUACUG
rnacentral:lncRNA from 7 species